UACGUAGGGUGCGAGCGUUGUCCGGAAUUAUUGGGCGUAAAGAGCUCGUAGGCGGUCUGUCGCGUCGAUCGUGAAAACUUGGGGCUUAACCCUGAGCUUGCGGUCGAUACGGGCGGGCUGGAGUUCGGUAGGGGAGACUGGAAUUCCUGGUGUAGCGGUGAAAUGCGCAGAUAUCAGGAGGAACACCGGUGGCGAAGGCGGUUCUCUGGGCCUGUUCUGACGCUGAGGAGCGAAAGCGUGGGGAGCGAACAGG
rnacentral:rRNA from 1 species